CACUAGUUUACCAGUUGUCUGACAAGGCAAUGCUGGGUAGCCACGCCCUGACGGAUAAGAGCUGAAAGCAUCUAAGCUCGAAGCCACCCCAUAAACGAGACACAUAUUCAUCACUCGUAGAAGACGAGUUGAUAGACUGCGGAUGUAA
rnacentral:rRNA from 1 species